CAUGUGUGUAUAUAUACGUGCGUCAUAUCCUAAAAAGUUGUGUGUUAAAAACUUGAAUAGCCGCAAUAGCUAUAUUUCCGUCUUCUUGUUGUUUAUUUGUUCUCAUCAUAGGUUAGUUGGAGAAGAAUAGGUAUCGAUAAUAAAUAUCGAUCGUAAGGAGGAGUAAACUCUCUCUCUCUCUCUCUGUGUGUGUGUGUAUGUGUGUGUGUGUGUGUGAAUGGGUGGGUGUGUCUCGCGCGCGCGUGCGCCUAUAAAUACUACGGGUGUGGGAAAAUCGAAAUUGCUGCGCAUACGCCAUUGGAGCAAGUGGUGUACAUCGGCGCAGCAGCAGCCAGCAGGUUGCUGGAUUGUCGCAAAGAACAGCGCAGUUGCCGCCUCGAGUUGCCUUUCUCCGUUUCCACUGUUAUUCUCACAUUAGGCUCGGACGAACGCCAUUUUGGACUGCGAGCGGUUUAUUAUCGCGGACCAGUGCGGACGAGACGAGACGAGACGAGACGGACGAGAUGCUUCUCGUAAGUUAGUAUCGAUGAUAAAAAUUGGUGAUUUAUUUUUUAUAGUUGCACAGACAGAAUUGAACGAAUGCUAACGAAACGGAACUAUUGAUUGAUGAACGCUGCGAACAAAAAAAUGUGAAUGACGAUAGGAGAGGGGGGGGGGAGAGAGAGGGAGAGAUAGAGAGAGAGGAGGGGAGAUAGGGAGAGAGUAUAGGAAAAGAAAAGUGUACUUUAAACUUCACGACUGUUGUCACCUAAUCAUCCAGAUUCGCGUUCACAUCGCUAUGUUUUUCUUCGUAUGUUGCGUGGGUGGACUAGCUACUGGAGGUGAACCAACAUUCACCGUACAAUGAUGCUGUGACAAUGCGCCGGGUGGGAGAAAUGUAUUGAAACCAACGAUAAGUUCGGGAUGUCCUUUG